rnacentral:rRNA from 1 species
CGCGUAGGUAACCUGCCUGGUAGCGGGGGAUAACUAUUGGAAACGAUAGCUAAUACCGCAUGAUAUUAAUUGUCGCAUGAUAAUUAAUUGAAAGAUGCAAUUGCAUCACUACCAGAUGGACCUGCGUUGUAUUAGCUAGUUGGUGAGGUAACGGCUCACCAAGGCGACGAUACAUAGCCGACCUGAGAGGGUGAUCGGCCACACUGGGACUGAGACACGGCCCAG